rnacentral:rRNA from 1 species
GGCGAACGCUGGCGGCGUGCUUAACACAUGCAAGUCGAACGGAAAGGCCCUGCUUUUGUGGGGUGCUCGAGUGGCGAACGGGUGAGUAACACGUGAGUAACCUGCCCUUGACUUUGGGAUAACUUCAGGAAACUGGGGCUAAUACCGGAUAGGAGCUCCUGCUGCAUGGUGGGGGUUGGAAAGUUUCGGCGGUUGGGGAUGGACUCACGGCUUAUCAGCUUGUUGGUGGGGUAGUGGCUUACCAAGGCUUUGACGGGUAGCCGGCCUGAGAGGGUGACCGGCCACAUUGGGACUGAGAUACGGCCCAGACUCCUACGGGAGGCAGCAGUGGGGAAUAUUGCACAAUGGGCGGAAGCCUGAUGCAGCAACGCCGCGUGCGGGAUGACGGCCUUCGGGUUGUAAACCGCUUUCGCCUGUGACGAAGCGUGAGUGACGGUAAUGGGUAAAGAAGCACCGGCUAACUACGUG